GAUGAACGCUAGCGGCAGGCUUAAUACAUGCAAGUCGUGGGGCAGCAGGACGGUAGCAAUACCGUUGCUGGCGACCGGCAAACGGGUGCGGAACACGUACACAACCUUCCUUUAAGUGGGGAAUAGCCCGGGGAAACCCGGAUUAAUACCUCGUAACAUAAUGAAGUGGCAUCACUUUAUUAUUAUAGCAGCAAUGCGCUUGAUGAUGGGUGUGCGCCUGAUUAGGUAGUUGGCGGGGUAACGGCCCACCAAGCCUUCGAUCAGUAACUGGUGUGAGAGCACGACCAGUCACACGGGCACUGAGACACGGGCCCGACUCCUACGGGAGGCAGCAGUAAGGAAUAUUGGUCAAUGGACGCAAGUCUGAACCAGCCAUGCCGCGUGGAGGAUGAAGGUCCUCUGGAUUGUAAACUUCUUUUAUCUGGGAAGAAAUCCAUAUUUUCUAAUGUGGUUGACGGUACCAGACGAAUAAGCACCGGCUAACUCCGUGCCAGCAGCCG
rnacentral:rRNA from 1 species